UUUGGCCUACGGGACGCAGCAGUAGGGAAUCUUCCACAAUGGACGAAAGUCUGAUGGAGCAACGCCGCGUGAGUGAAGAAGGAUUUCGGCUCGUAAAGCUCUGUUGGUAGUGAAGAAAGAUAGAGGUAGUAACUGGCCUUUAUUUGACGGUAAUUACUUAGAAAGUCACGGCUAACUACGUGCCAGCAGCCGCGGUAAUACGUAGGUGGCAAGCGUUGUCCGGAUUUAUUGGGCGUAAA
rnacentral:rRNA from 1 species